rnacentral:rRNA from 1 species
UUGGAGGGCAAGUCUGGUGCCAGCAGCCGCGGUAAUUCCAGCUCCAAUAGCGUAUAUUAAAGUUGUUGCAGUUAAAAAGCUCGUAGUUGAACUUCGGGGUUUACCCAUUGGUCAGGCUUAACUGUCUGUACUGGUGAGAUAAAUCUCUACCUUCUGAGGAACUUUCAUGCCAUUUAUUUGGUGUGAUUGGAAAUCAGGACUAUUACUUUGAAAAAAUUAGAGUGUUUAAAGCAGGCUAACGUCUGAAUAUAUUAGCAUGGAAUAAUGAAAUAGGACGGCUUGGUUCUAUCUCGUUGGUUUCUAGGAUCACCGUAAUGAUUAAUAGGGAUAGUUGGGGGCAUUAGUAUUCAAUUGUCAGAGGUGAAAUUCUUGGAUUUAUUGAAGACUAACUACUGCGAAAGCAUUUGCCAAGGAUGUUUUCAUUAAUCAAGAACGAAAGUUAGGGGAUCGAAGACGAUCAGAUACCGUCGUAGUCUUAACCAUAAACUAUGCCGACUAGGGAUCGGAUGAUGUUGAUUUUUUAAUGACUCAUUCGGCGCCUUACGGGAAAC